rnacentral:rRNA from 1 species
GACGGACCGUGCGAACGUUAUUCGGAAUCAUUGGGCUUAAAGGGCGCGUAGGCGGCGGUGUAAGUUGGAAGUGAAAUCCCAUCGGCUCAACCGUGGAAUUGCUCCCAGUACUGCAUCGCUCGAGGGGGAUAGGGGUUUGCGGAACUACCGGUGGAGCGGUGAAAUGUGUUGAUAUCGGUGGGAACGCCAGUGGCGAAAGCGGCAAACUUGACCCUUCCUGACGCUGAGGCGCGAAAGCUAGGGGAGCAAACGGG